UUGACCACGGACUUUUAUUUUGAAACGACGAAGCCCGAACAGAUAAUGUGCAUUUGUUUGUACUGGAUGGGAAGUGUUGCUCAGAUAUGAUCUGUUUUAGCUGCUGUUUAAUACAUUUUAGUCUGUAGUUGAAAGGCCACGCGCUCGGUCAGUUAUAUGCAGCGCGUGAGUUUAGACUUCACAGGAACAAUCUUUCGUCACGCCAUCUGCCUUGGAGAUGCAGAGAACGACUCGUUGAAUGAGCUGGUGGUGGGAGACACUAGUGGGAAGCUGUGCAUCUAUAAAAACGAUGACUGUAAGCCCUGGAUCACGAGGACAUGUGUGGGCAUGUUAACGUGUUGGAGUGGGAGAUGUUUGCAACAAAGGAAGGAUUUGCUUUUGUGUGCACAUGUAAGAUGGAGACUCGCUCU